rnacentral:rRNA from 1 species
AAAAUUAAAGGUCUAAUCUGCCCAAUGAUAAUUGAAUGGCCGCGGUAACUUGACCGUGCAAAGGUAGCAUAAUUAUUAGUCUUUUAAUUGAAGGCUUGAAUGAAAGAUUGGAUGAAAAAUAGACUUUAUUAAUAAAAAUCAUUUAAUUUAUUAUUUAAGUAAAAAUUCUUAAAUAUACAAGUGGGACGAGAAGACCCUAUAGAGUUUUAUUUUUAUUUUUAUUAUGAAAUUUAAGAAUUAAUAUUUUUAUCAUAAAAAUAAAUUUUUUAUUGGGGUGAUAUUAAAAAUUAUUAAACUUUUAGUUAAUGUUUCAUUAAUAUAUGUAUAAUUGAUCCAAAUAAAUUUUUGAUUAUAAGAACUAAUUACCUUAGGGAUAACAGCGUUAUUAAUUUGAAGAGCUCAAAUCGAUAAAUUAGUUUGCGACCUCGAUGUUGGAUUAAGAGUAGAUUUUAAAGUAGUAUUUAAAAUUAUAGGUCUGUUCGACCUUUAAAUUCUUACG